rnacentral:misc_RNA from 1 species
CGAGUCGUUACUCUAACCGUUCGCGGAGGAGGGCGCCGAAGGCAGGGCUGAUGACUGGGGUGAAGUCGUAACAAGGUAGCCGUACCGGAAGGUGUGGCUGGAUCACCUCCUUUUAGGGAGACCUCACACUCAUCUAGACCGAACCAAUCAGUAUUAAGUCAGAUGAGAGUCAUCCCAAGGUCGUUGAGGUAUGUCAAAAAAAUUCAUCUCAGGAAUCUUUCAAACUAUUAACUAGGUGAGGGAAAUGGGCUAUUAGCUCAGGUGGUUAGAGCGCACCCCUGAUAAGGGUGAGGUCCCUGGGUCGAGUCCAGGAUGGCCCACUUAGGGGGUUUAGCUCAGUUGGUAGAGCGCCUGCUUUGCAAGCAGGAUGUCAGCGGUUCGAGUCCGCUAACCUCCACCAAUUUCACUUACCAAAUUUUCACUACGGCACACAGCACCUUACUAUGUUUUGACUAUUAACUAAUAGGUAGUCAAAGUACAUAAGAGAAUGCUGGGUCAGCCCAGCGAGAACCUUGAAAACUGCGUAUGAGCAAGAAAUUGCUAGGUAGAAUCAAUUAAUGAUGAGUGAGUAACGCAUCAUUAAUAACGAUUCACAGACACCAAAGAAUCAAAAGAAACAAAUUGGUCAAGCUACAAAGGGCUUAUGGUGGAUACCUAGGCACACAGAGAA